rnacentral:lncRNA from 1 species
GUUACAACUGAUUUUGUCCCCAAACUAAGAUUUAACAGAGAAAUUUGAGCAGCAGCUAAUAGUAUGUAGUAUCAACACUAUGAGUGAAAUACCAAAGCAAACAGAUUAUCCUUACCCUGCUCCAGGUUAAUUAUAUUAUCUAUCCUUUGCUAAUUCACUACUUGCAUCUAGUUAGAAAUACUUUUAUUUGAAUUGCUAAGGUAACUUGGUCAUUUAGUUGCCAAAUAAACAAUAGCAUGAAACUUCUGCAUCUUUCUAGAUUUAAAUUAAAAUAGAGUAAAGUAUUCAAAACACAUUUAAAUUAUUAUUAUUUGAGUUUCACAUCUAGACGAAUGAAAAUAUUGGUAGUUUGAGAAACACACAUAAAUUAUCGGAGCUAGCUUUGGACCCUAGCUAGCUACAUGUUAUUUCUAAUUUAUUGAUACAUAUUUUUCUUCUUCAAUGAAGUGUAUAGACUGUAUUAGCUUUCUAUUUUGCUAGUUGCUAUACAAAUCUUAUCAGAAUUAGAUGUAUGUUGGAUCAGACUGCAUAUUUAGAGCAAAAUAAAGCAUAUUUCGAUGCUGAAAAAGUAUAUAUAGUAAUAUAGUUGAAUUAAUAUAACAGGUUAUUAUUACGAGGGACCUCCGGUGUUGGCACCAUCUAUGUAUACUUAUACUGCUGCUCCUCCUAGGAGCCAACCAGGUUUUUUCGAGGCUUGGUAAUAUUAGUAUUACUCCAUCCAUUCAUUUUCAUGCUAAGUUAUGUGGCACUAUAUGUAUUUAUUAUGAUGCUCAAAAUAGUAGUACAAUAAAUAUGUAUAAUAACUUGUUUGGUUAAUGACUUUUGUUUGCAGCCUGGCAACUUUAUGUUGUUGUUGCCUCCUUGACUCUUGCUGCUGGGAUCCUUUCUUCUGCAUCUAGUUCUUUUCUUGUACAAGUACUUAAAUGUCCUUAUGUCAAUAGUAUUUUCAGGUUGUUAUUUUUGGGGGGUUUCAUAAAAAGGCAUUUAUAUUACCUAGGAUGGUAGGUGGUGCAGUUACAUAUAUAUAUAUACAUAUAUACUAUAGUUUAUUAACAGGUAAUUAAAGGGGAUUUCUGGUAGUUGUCACUAUAUGUAUGUACCAUAAUAAGCCCUUGUCCUCAGUUUUGUUCCAAGUGAAUAAAAGAGUUGGUAUUACUACUUUCGAUC